AGUGAACGCUGGCGGUAGGCCUAACACAUGCAAGUCGAACGGCAGCACAGUAAGAGCUUGCUCUUACGGGUGGCGAGUGGCGGACGGGUGAGGAAUACAUCGGAAUCUACUUUUUCGUGGGGGAUAACGUAGGGAAACUUACGCUAAUACCGCAUACGACCUACGGGUGAAAGCAGGGGAUCUUCGGACCUUGCGCGAUUGAAUGAGCCGAUGUCGGAUUAGCUAGUUGGCGGGGUAAAGGCCCACCAAGGCGACGAUCCGUAGCUGGUCUGAGAGGAUGAUCAGCCACACUGGAACUGAGACACGGUCCAGACUCCUACGGGAGGCAGCAGUGGGGAAUAUUGGACAAUGGGCGCAAGCCUGAUCCAGCCAUACCGCGUGGGUGAAGAAGGCCUUCGGGUUGUAAAGCCCUUUUGUUGGGAAAGAAAAGCAGCAGGUUAAUACCCCGCUGUUCUGACGGUAGCCAAAGAAUAAGCACCGGCUAACUUCGUG
rnacentral:rRNA from 1 species